rnacentral:tRNA from 1 species
CGAAAUUGGUAGACGCUACGGACUUAAAAAAUCCGUCGUCUUUAAAAAUCGUGAGGGUUCAAGUCCCUCUAUCCCCAA